rnacentral:rRNA from 1 species
CCUACGGGUGGCAGCAGUGGGGAAUAUUGCACAAUGGGGGAAACCCUGAUGCAGCGACGCCGCGUGAGUGAAGAAGUAUUUCGGUACGUAAAGCUCUAUCAGCAGGGAAGAAAAAAAGUCCUUUGGACUUUGGACGGUACCUGACCAAGAAGCCCCGGCUAACCCCGUGCCAGCAGCCGCGGUAAUACGUAGGGGGCAAGCGUUAUCCGGAUUUCCUGGGUGGAAAGGGAGCGUAGACGGGAGGGCAAGUCUGGAGUGAAAUGCCGGGGCCCAACCCCGGAACUGCUUUGGAAACUGUGCAGCUAGAGUGCAGGAGAGGAAGGCGGAAUUCCGAGUGUAGCGGUGAAAUGCGUAGAUAUUAGGAAGAACACCAGUGGCGAAGGCAGCUUACUGGACUGUAACUGACGUUGAGGCUCGAAAGCGUGGGGAGCAAACAGGAUUAGAUACCCUAGUAGUC